rnacentral:rRNA from 1 species
AUUGAACGCUGGCGGCAGGCUUAACACAUGCAAGUCGAGCGGAGAUGAGGUGCUUGCACCUUAUCUUAGCGGCGGACGGGUGAGUAAUGCUUAGGAAUCUGCCUAUUAGUGGGGGACAACAUUCCGAAAGGAAUGCUAAUACCGCAUACGUCCUACGGGAGAAAGCAGGGGAUCUUCGGACCUUGCGCUUAUAGAUGAGCCUAAGUCGGAUUAGCUAGCUGGUGGGGUAAAGGCCUACCAAGGCGACGAUCUGUAGCGGGUCUGAGAGGAUGAUCCGCCACACUGGGACUGAGACACGGCCCAGACUCCUACGGGAGGCAGCAGUGGGGAAUAUUGGACAAUGGGGGGAACCCUGAUCCAGCCAUGCCGCGUGUGUGAAGAAGGCCUUAUGGUUGUAAAGCACUUUAAGCGAGGAGGAGGCUACUGAGACUAAUACUCUUGGAUAGUGGACGUUAUUCGCAGAAUAAGCACCGGCUAACUCUGUGCCAGCCGCCGCCGUAA